GAUGAACGCUAGCGGGAGGCCUAACACAUGCAAGCCGAGCGGUAUUUGUCUUUCGGGACAGAGAGAGCGGCGUACGGGUGCGGAACACGUGUGCAACCUGCCUUUAUCAGGGGGAUAGCCUUUCGAAAGGAAGAUUAAUACCCCAUAAUAUAUCUGAUGGCAUCAUUAGAUAUUGAAAACUCCGGUGGAUAGAGAUGGGCACGCGCAAGAUUAGAUAGUUGGUGAGGUAACGGCUCACCAAGUCAGUGAUCUUUAGGGGGCCUGAGAGGGUGCUCCACCACACUGGUACUGGGACACGGACCAGACUCCUACGGGAGGCAGCAGUGAGGAAUAUUGGACAAUGGGUGCGAGCCUGAUCCAGCCAUCCCGCGUGAAGGACGACGGUUCUAUGGAUUGUAAACUUCUUUUAUACUGGGAUAAACCUACUCUCGUGAGGGUAGCUGAAGGUACAGUAUGAAUAAGCACCGGCUAACUCCGUGCCAGCAGCCGCGGUAA
rnacentral:rRNA from 1 species